rnacentral:rRNA from 1 species
AGUGAACGCUGGCGGUAGGCCUAACACAUGCAAGUCGAAUGGCAGCACAGUAAGAGCUUGCUCUUACGGGUGGCGAGUGGCGGACGGGUGAGGAAUACAUCGGAAUCUACUUUUUCGUGGGGGAUAACGUAGGGAAACUUACGCUAAUACCGCAUACGACCUACGGGUGAAAGCAGGGGAUCUUCGGACCUUGCGCGAUUGAAUGAGCCGAUGUCGGAUUAGCUAGUUGGCGGGGUAAAGGCCCACCAAGGCGACGAUCCGUAGCUGGUCUGAGAGGAUGAUCAGCCACACUGGAAAUGAGACACGGUCCAGACUCCUACGGGAGGCAGCAGUGGGGAAUAUUGGACAGUGGGCGCAAGCCUGAUCCAGCCAUACCGCGUGGGUGAAGAAGGCCUUCGGGUUGUAAAGCCCUUUUGUUGGGAAAGAAAAGCAGCAGGUUAAUACCCCGCUGUUCUGACGGUACCCAAAGAAUAAGCACCGGCUAACUUCGU